rnacentral:rRNA from 1 species
AAGGAUCAUUAUUGAUUUUAUCUAUUUCUGUGGAUUUCUAUUCUAUUACAGCGUCAUUUUAUCUCAAUUAUAACUAUCAACAACGGGUCUCUUGGCUCUCACAUCGAUGAAGAACGCAGCGAACCGCGAUAUUUUUUGUGACUUGCAGAUGUGAAUCAUCAAUCUUUGAACGCACAUUGCGCGGUAUGGCAUUCCGUACCGCACGGAUGGAGGAGCGUGUUCCCUCUGGGAUCGCAUUGCUUUCUUGAAAUGGAUUUUUUUAAACUCUCAAUUAUUACGUCAUUUCACCUCCUUCAUCCGAGGUUACCCGCUGAACUUAAGCAUAUCAAUAAGCGGAGGAAAAGAAACCAACAGGGAUUGCCUCAGUAACGGCGAGUGAAGCGGCAAAAGCUCAAAUUUGAAACCCUCGGGAUUGUAAUUUGAAGAUUUGGCAUUGGAGAAAGCUAACCCAAGUUGCUUGGAAUAGUACGUCAUAGAGGGUGACAACCCCGUCUGGCUAACCGUUCUCCAUGUAUUGCCUUAUCAAAGAGUCGAGUUGUUUGGGAAUGCAGCUCAAAGUGGGUGGUAAACUCCAUCUAAAGCUAAAUACUGGUGAGAGACCGAUAGCGAACAAGUACUGUGAAGGAAAGGUGAAAAGAACUUUGAAAAGAGAGUGAAAUAGUAUGUGAAAUUGUUGAUAGGGAAGGAAAUGAGUGGAGAGUGGCCGAGGUUUCAGCCGCCCCUCGUGGGCGGUGUACUGCCGACGCCGAGUCAUCGAUAGCGAGACGAGGGUUACAAAUGGGAGCGCCUUUCGGGCAGUUCUCCCCUAACCCUCCACACUGCCACCGACGACAUAAUCCACCCAUUUCACCCGUCUUGAAACACGGACC